AGUGAACGCUGGCGGUAGGCCUAACACAUGCAAGUCGAACGGCAGCACAGUAAGAGCUUGCUCUUACGGGUGGCGAGUGGCGGACGGGUGAGGAAUACAUCGGAAUCUACUUUUUCGUGGGGGAUAACGUAGGGAAACUUACGCUAAUACCGCAUACUACCUACGGGUGAAAGCAGGGGAUCUUCGGACCUUGCGCGAUUGAAUGAGCCGAUGUCGGAUUAGCUAGUUGGCGGGGUAAAGGCCCACCAAGGCGACGAUCCGUAGCUGGUCUGAGAGGAUGAUCAGCCACUGGAACUGAGACACGGUCCAGACUCCUACGGGAGGCAGCAGUGGGGAAUAUUGGACAAUGGGCGCAAGCCUGAUCCAGCCAUACCGCGUGGGUGAAGAAGGCCUUCGGGUUGUAAAGCCCUUUUGUUGGGAAAGAAAAGCAGCAGGUUAAUACCCCGCUGUUCUGACGGUACCCAAAGAAUAAGCACCGGCUAACUUCGUG
rnacentral:rRNA from 1 species